GGGGAUGUAGCUCAGUUGGUUGAGCACUUGCCUAGCAUGCAUGAAGCACUGGGUUCGAUUCCCAGUAUCCCCA
rfam:Cricetulus griseus cell line CHO-K1, whole genome shotgun sequence.